rnacentral:rRNA from 1 species
CGAACGCUGGCGGCGUGCUUAACACAUGCAAGUCGAACGGAAAGGCCCUGCUUUUGUGGGGUGCUCGAGUGGCGAACGGGUGAGUAACACGUGAGUAACCUGCCCUUGACUUUGGGAUAACUUCAGGAAACUGGGGCUAAUACCGGAUAGGAGCUCCUGCUGCCUGGUGGGGGUUGGAAAGUUUCGGCGGUUGGGGAUGGACUCGCGGCUUAUCAGCUUGUUGGUGGGGUAGUGGCUUACCAAGGCUUUGACGGGUAGCCGGCCUGAGAGGGUGACCGGCCACAUUGGGACUGAGAUACGGCCCAGACUCCUACGGGAGGCAGCAGUGGGGAAUAUUGCACAAUGGGCGGAAGCCUGAUGCAGCAACGCCGCGUGCGGGAUGACGGCCUUCGGGUUGUAAACCGCUUUCGCCUGUGACGAAGCGUGAGUGACGGUAAUGGGUAAAGAAGCACCGACUAACUACGUG